rnacentral:tRNA from 1 species
GGAGGGUGUAGCUCAGUGGUAGAGCACGUGCUUAGCAUGCACGAGGUCCUGGGUUCAAUCCCCAGUAUCUCCA